GAUGAACGCUGGCGGCGUGCCUAAUACAUGCAAGUCGAGCGAACAGAUGAGGAGCUUGCUCCUCUGACGUUAGCGGCGGACGGGUGAGUAACACGUGGAUAACCUACCUAUAAGACUGGGAUAACUUCGGGAAACCGGAGCUAAUACCGGAUAAUAUAUUGAACCGCAUGGUUCAAUAGUGAAAGACGGUUUUGCUGUCACUUAUAGAUGGAUCCGCGCCGCAUUAGCUAGUUGGUAAGGUAACGGCUUACCAAGGCAACGAUGCGUAGCCGACCUGAGAGGGUGAUCGGCCACACUGGAGCGGAGACACGGACCAGACUCCUACGGGAGGCAGCAGUAGGGAAUCUUCCGCAAUGGGCGAAAGCCUGACGGGGCAACGCCGCGUGAGUGAUGAAGGUCUUCGGAUCGUAAAACUCUGUUAUUAGGGAAGAACAAAUGUGUAAGUAACUAUGCACGUCUUGACGGUACCUAAUCAGAAAGCCACGGCUAACUACGUG
rnacentral:rRNA from 1 species